rnacentral:tRNA from 1 species
CCGGCGAUGGCCGAGGCGAUCAUGCGGCUACGCACCGCAGGCUGCGUUUUUGCCGAGGACGAGGCGGCCGUGCUGGCCGCCUCGGCGGCC